UGGAGCUGCUCGCCCAGGGGGACACGGUCUUUGACAUCCUGGAUGGGCGAGUGGGAGAGGAUGUGCACAAGAAGCUCCUCCUUGCCCAGGAAGAGCCUGGCAGGGAAGUCACUUUUGUCAGCGAGAUGCGCACGUCCAAGGCCUUCCGGCUGCAGCACGGGGGCAAUCGGGUGGUGGCAGUGUGCGGGCGCUUUGUGGCCUUGCACUGGCCACCCUCCCCCUCCACCACAGCCUUCCUGGCUCUCUGCACACCCCUUGUGCAGUCACCCACAGAUGGCGAAGCUGCUUCCCAGGAUGACAUAUUCCAGAGCAUGCAUCUCCUGGACAUGACGUUUAUUGAUGUCACGGAGAGUGUCACCUACCACCUAGGCUACCACCGGGAGGAGCUGGUCGGUCAGUCGUGGUACAGUCUCCUGCACCCUGAGGAUGCUGACCUGGCAGCUGCCCAGCACAGGGCCGUGGGUGAGUGUCACACCCAGGAACGUGCGUGCUGUCCCCUGGCUUCAUGGUCUGGUUAUGCCUGAAACGUGGCUAUCCAGGACAGCAGCGACAAAGUGAAUUCAGCCCUCCCUGUUCUGACUCCCAGGUCCAAAAAGGAUGAGGUGGGGAAGUGGUUACGUGUCCCAUACACUGUCCAUUAGUAGUUUCCAAGCUGGGGGUGGGCAGUCCUGCUUUGCCACGGUAUACAGAAGAGGGACACGCCCACUUGAGCCCCAUCUCUUUGGGAGCGCAGGACUGCUAUGGACCUGAUUCUGCUCUGUGUUGCUUUUGUCCCGCUGGGGCCAGACUGGUGACCGGCGGCAGAGCCCACCGGGGCAGCCUGCGGGGCUAUCCCGGCACCCUGGGGCCGUGCCCUGCUGCCGGCUCACGCAGUCCCUUCCCUUGCCCGCAGCGCUGGGGGCCGGGCCCGGGCCGGCAGCGGGGACCUCCG
rnacentral:lncRNA from 1 species